UACAGGGGGUGCAAACGUUGCUCGGAAUCAUUGGGCGUAAAGCGCACGUAGGCGGUUCGUUAAGUCGGAUGUGAAAGCCCUCGGCUCAACUGAGGAAGUGCACCCGAAACUGGCGAGCUUGAGUACGAAAGAGGAUCGCGGAAUUCCCGGUGUAGAGGUGAAAUUCGUAGACAUAGGGAGGAACACCGGUGGCGAAGGCGGCGAUCUGGGUCGAUACUGACGCUGAGGUGCGAAAGCGUGGGGAGCAAACAGG
rnacentral:rRNA from 1 species